rnacentral:sRNA from 1 species
CAUCACCACCACCACACCUGAUUAGUCUUUCAGGCGUUGUGUGCUGGAAGGCUGAUAAGAUCUUCCAGUGGUAUAGGACGUGAAAAAACCCCCGGAAGAUCUUCCGGGGGUUUUUUA